GAGACAUUCUCCAGGCUGAGCUUCGUGGAUCAUUAGUCAGCCUUGGGGGAGAGUUGCAAUUGUCAUAAACCUUGUUCUCCCCAGGGUUCUGACAGGACACCUGAAGUGUAUCCUGGACUCUGUGAUGGAGACUGCUGUCAGCAGUUAGCUCUGCCUGCCAGAGGGGCACUAGCCGCCCUGAACCUCACUCUGCUGUCGGGCUGCAGCUGUUGCUCAUAGAGUCCUAAUGUGGCCAGCCAAAGAACCUAGAAGGGAAGAAGGAAAAGUUCUUCAACGCUGCAGUUUUGGUGCCCAAUGUGGAGCUCUCCACUGGCCACAGCACCUCAGAGAUCCUGGGACCUCUGACAGGACCCCGAAGAGAGAGAGACAGAGAGAGUGAGAGGAAGAGAGAAUGGAGCAAGGGGCAGAGAAAGAGGGAGAGAGAAUCUUA
rnacentral:lncRNA from 1 species